UUGAAAAGUGCCUACCCCUGGCCUGGGAUGCUUCCUCCUGGGAUGCUCCCACUUGGAACCCAACUAUUGUGCUGCAGAAGUUUAACUUAACUGUGUAAGGAGGCCAAGAGGAGGCCCUGGCUGCCAGCCAGCAUCAACUUCCAGUGACGUGAGUGUGCCAUUCUGGAACUGGAUCCUGCAGCCUCGGUGGAGCAGCCUCAGCUGAUGCCAUGUGGAACAGAGAUGAACUGCCGCUGCCGAGCUCUGCCCACGUUGCAGAAUCAUGAGCAAAUGCUGGAGUGCAGUGGCAUGAUCUCAGCUUACUGCAACCUCUGCCUCCCAGGUUCAAGUGAUUCUCCUGCCUCAGCCUCCCAAGUAGCUGGGAUUACAGAUGUUGUGGAUUGGCUGUAACUCUGCUCUGGGAUCCAGGCUGAAGGAGCAGGCUCUAUCUGGAACAUUACUAGUCUCCAGGCAGAAGAAAAAGAGACAAUGGAAUGGAUGAUUGAAUGGAUGAAUGAACUCCACAGGAAGAUGAGGAAAGCCUUUAUGGAUGGAGUGAGCUUGCAGCAGAGUCUCAAAGGAAGAAGAAAUAAAACAAACUUCUACAUGGCAAAAUAAACCUCUACAUGGCAAAAUAAACCUCUACAUGGCAAAAUAAACCUCUACAUGGAUAGAGAUCUGUCUCAGACACAUUUUGGUUUCCAUGACUUCUGAAUGGCAGCAUGAGGAGCUCCAUGAACCCUCUCCCCAGUGAAAUGACCAUAAUCUCUGGAAAUUGCUUAAGAUCAAAGCCACAACUAUUUAAAGCCUUUGGAAAUUGUUUUAUGGGGAUGCGGCAAAUUAAUAAACUUUUAUUCAAGAAAAUGUACUAAGUCUCAGUAAGAACAGUGAGAGUCAAUAACAUUUGUACCACAAAAGACUUCCUCCCUCCUUCUUCUAGCUCAGCAUGAUGGAAAAGUUACUCUAAGUAGGUGAAGCCGAGAACACGGGCUACCUCUUUCCCCAGCUCUCAGUUGAGGGCUACUAUAUCUCGCUGGGAGGGCGGCUGCCAGCAUUUCUCAUACCCUCCAGCUUCAUGCUGCAAAAGCUCUACUUUGGACAAGACUGGCUGAUAAAUCUGGGGCUCACUUCGUAAACCUAGCCCCCAAUCAUAGGGCAGAAACUCCACCUCGGCCAUGGCAGGCUGAGAAUACUGGAGCCUGUGUUACCCUGGCCUCAGCUUGCUCAUGGGGCAGAGAUUCUUUACAGGAAAGGCAAGAGCAGAAGAGCAAAAGCUACUGCUCUGCCCAGCACUCUGCUCAUAAAGCCGGAUUGUCAUCCUGAGAUAAGGGGGCCACUGUCUCUGCCUGAGUUCCCCAAGCUCCGGAGCAGUGGUGCAGAGGUUUUGCCCAAGGGGAGAGGAAGGCGGUAGAUACAGAGACCUCUGAAGUUCUUCCCAAGAAAACACUUUAUGUAGAACACAAUGUGGGAAAGUUCAAGUGUAAGGGUGUUCUCAAAAACAAUGAAGAUUUUGUUGGUAAGCAAUUAAGAGGAGCCUGGGAACUCCAUUCAAGCAACAAGCUGAACUGUAGACCAGCUAGAAGUGUUCUGGAGAGAACCAGGGAAAGCAUCAGCUAAGAAGAGCCCCCUUGGUGUUAGAAUAAGUCUCAAAGACUGACCUGAAAGAUUACCCUUGCAAAGGGGCCCAAAUUUAAUGUACAAGACAGGAGCAAUUCAUGCCUCCAGGGCAUUAUCAAACACGAAAGAACAAUCAGCCAGCAGUUGGUGGAGGCUAACGGCUGUAUGUGAUACCAUAGCAGGCUGACAGCUUAACAAAGAGAUAAGGUAAAGAGAAAAGGAGACUUUUUUUUUUUUUUUUUUAAGAUGGAGUCUCACUCUGUCGCCCAGGCUGGAGUGCAGUGGCCCAAUCUCAACUCAUUGCAGCCUCUCACUCCCAGGUUCAAGUGAUUCUCCUGCCUCAGCCUCCCAAAUAGUUGAGAUUACAGGCGUGAGCCACCACACCUGGCCCAAAUUUUACUCUUCUAGGCACCUCAUGUAAGUGGAAUCAUACAGUAUUUGUCCUCUUGUGAUUGGCUAAUUUCACUUUACAUAAUGUCUUCAAGUAUCAUCCAUAUUGCAGCAUGUGUCAGAAUUGUCAGAAUUUCAUUCCUUUUUUUUUUUUUCUUGAGACAGGGUCUCACUCUGUCUCCCUGGCUGGAGUACAGUGGCACAAUCACAGUUCACUGCAACCUCAACCUCCUGGGCUCAAAUGAUCCUCCUACCUCAGCCUCCCAAGUAGAUGGGACUACAGGAGCACGCCACCAUGCCCAGCUAAUUUUUUUUUUUUUUUUUUUUUUUUUUACUUUUUUGUAGAGACAGGAUCUCACUGUAUUGCCCAGGCUGGUCUUGAACUCUUGGGCUCAAGCAAUCCUCUUGCCUCUGCCUCCCAAAAUGCUGGGAUUACAAGCAUGAGCCACUGCACCGGCCAAUUUCAUCCCUGUGAAAGCUGAAUAGUAUUCCAUUACUUGUACUUACCAAUUUUAUUUAUCCCUUCAUCCAUCAAUGGACAUUUGGGUUGUUUCCCCCUUUUGGCCAUUAUGAAUAAUGCUGCUAUGAACCCUGGCAUACAAAUCAAAUGUAACUUAAAUGCCACGUCUGCAUUGUGGGUGAUACAAGAGAUGAUUAUAGAAUAGCACAUGGAAGAACAUUUAAAAACAUAAAUUUAAAAUGUCAUAUUUAAAAAUGUAAUAGUUGGCCGGGUGCAGUGGCUCAAGCCUAUAGUCCCAGCACUCUGGGAGGCCGAGGCAGGGGAAUCACUUGAGGUCAGGAAUUCAAGACCAGCCUGGCCACUAAAAACACACACACAAAAAUUAGACAGACGUGGUGGCGCACGCGUGUAAUCCCAGCUACUCGGGAGGCUGAGGUGGGAGGAUCCCUUGAACCCAGGAGAUGGAGGUUGCAGUGAGCCAAGGUCGUGCCACUGUACUCCAGCCUGGGCAACAGAGCAAGACUCUGUCUCAAAAAAUUAAUAAAUAAAAAUAAUAAAAUGUAAUCCUUAUGAAAUGAUUUUAAUGUAAUUAGAAUAACUAUAAUCACACUUUAAGCCUGCAAUAUCACAUAUAUUAUUGCUUCGGCCCACAAGGUUUCUCAACCUCAGCACUAUUGACAUUUGGGAUAAUUCUUUGUUGUGGGGCUGUCCUGGGCACUGGAGGGUGGUUAGCAGCAUCUCUAGCCCCUACCCACUAGAGGUCAACAGCACCCCUGCAGUUGUGACAACCACAGACAUUGUCAAGUGUCCCCUGAGGGAUGAAACUGCCCCCAGUUGAGAACCACUGGUUUAGGAUGGGGCUGAAUAAGGUAUUUAAUUUUAAAAGUUGAGUCAAUUUAAUAACAUUAUUAAGUAAAUAAUAAAGCAGAGAGUACAGAGAUAGGGUCAAAAUUAUCAAUGUGGUUUGCAGAUGCCUGGAGUUUGGGAUGUUUGCUCUGCAACUAUGCGAGGAUAUCCAAAUACCCAAGGGGCUGAGACGAAGCCAUUAACUAAGAUGAAGGCAUUAUCUGGCCUCCACCACCAGCCCCAUCCAUUUUUUUCAUCUUCUCGCCUACUGGGUCCCUAUUUGACUCUGCUAUGGACAAACUAUCUUGUGUUCAUCCACUCACAGGCCUACCUGGAAUGCCAUGCUCCCUCACCGCCAAUGCUGCCCUACCAAAUUCAGCCCAUAGACCUUCAAAAACCAAUUCAAAUCUCCAAGAAUCCAAGUCAGAAGAAAUUGCUGCCUCCUCUGAAUAAUUAUUGCUGACACUGAUUGCACUCUGUGCUUAUUGCUCAGUCCUUUGAGUUAUCUCGUCAAUAUUUCCCAUUUGUCCUAUAUCCAUCCCCACCUAGGAAUGAAUGGGACUUCAUGAUUCUGUCUUUCUAGUAUUAGAUGUCUUGCUCAGUAAAAAAUGUUUACUGUCUUGUAAAUUAAUUUAAAUAUAUGGUAAAAUAAUAUAGGGGUCUCUGGAAAGAUGGAAAUUGUUUGUUAUUGUUUUUGAGACGGAGUCUCACUCU
rnacentral:lncRNA from 1 species